rnacentral:rRNA from 1 species
UACAGAGGUCUCAAGCGUUGUUCGGAUUCAUUGGGCGUAAAGGGUGCGUAGGUGGCGCCAUAAGUCAGGUGUGAAAUUUCGGAGCUUAACUCCGAAACUGCAUUUGAUACUGCGGUGCUUGAGGACUGGAGAGGAGACUGGAAUUUACGGUGUAGCAGUGAAAUGCGUAGAGAUCGUAAGGAAGACCAGUGGCGAAGGCGGGUCUCUGGACAGUUCCUGACACUGAGGCACGAAGGCCAGGGGAGCAAACGGG